AGUGCAGAUUCCCAGGGGCUGGAAAAUGAAACAAAUGUGGGGGAGGAGGAUGUGCUUAGUGCAUGUAYUUUAAAGCUGGUGUUUUCUCUUUUUUCUCCCCUCAGGUAGUGUGACAAUGACAGUGGAUGAGCCCAGAACUUCCUCACUGUGAGGUGCCGUCAGCGUACAUCUCUACACAUUUCUCCUUCCCUUUGCUGUUAGGCUCAUGCUGGUGCCAGUUGAUGUAACUCAGGGGUGUGCCAUUUAUGUAUUUAAACUGACCUGAAGCCUCCCCCUUUCUAAUGCCCAGGUGUGGUUCCUGCCCUGUGGACUUUUGUCCAGCCUGAGAUCAGCCUGUUCCCAUACAAUGCACUCAAAGCUCUCAGAUUCCACCACCACUGUUCUGCUCUGAGCACUGGUUCAGGACAGSACAGUUUACCAGGUAAGCCCAGACUAACAGAGCU